rnacentral:lncRNA from 1 species
GGAAUUUUUAAUUUUCAUGGAUUUGGUGGUGAUGAAUUAAAAUUCCCGGUUUUGCGGUGGUUCCCACACCCAAAGGGGGUCCCGGGGGUCGUCACCCCCACCCAGGUUCGGGGUUUUUGCCUCCUCAUCCUCACCUGCGAUGACGCCCAGGGUGCCCAGGGCCAGCGCCAGCAGAGCCGGGGGCUCCAUCCCGGGGGGAGCACCGGGAGCACCGGGAGGGGUCGGGAUGCUCCGGGAUGUACCGGGAUGCGCCGGGAUGCGCCGGGAUGCACCGGGAGGGGUCGGGAUGCUCCGGGAGCACCGGGAGCACCGGGAGGGGUCGGUUCUGGCUCUCCGGGAGCACCGGGAAGGCUCCGGUCCGGUUCUCCGGGAUAGGUCGGUUCAGGCUCGGUUCAGGCUCGGUUCGGGGUCGGUUCAGGCUCGGUUCGGGCUCGGUUCGGGCUCGGUUCGGUCUCUCCGUUCCGGUUCCCUCGCGGCUCUUCCGGGUCCGUCCCGUUCGGGGUCUCUGGGUGGGCUCUGAGCGCGCUCCGCGCCCCGCGGUCCCUCCGUCCGUCCGUCCGUCCGUCCUUCUGUCCCUCCCGUGUCCCUCCCGUGUCCCUCCCGUGUCCCUCUGUCCCCUCCCGUGUCCCUCCCGUGUCCGUCUGUCCCUCCUCGUGUCCGUCCGUCCCUCCCGGGCUCCGUUUCGUGCCGGUCCCGCCCCCGGGGAUUUCCGGGGCUGCGGAGACUUCGCAGCCCGGGGGCGGCUCCGGCCCCUCCUGCCCC